rnacentral:sRNA from 1 species
GGAUAUAAGAGUGAUCUGGCUGUUAUGUCUGUCACCCUAUUGAUUUCCAGGGUUGAUUUGGCUGAUUUGACUGUCUGGGCAUGUGUCCCUCCACUCCAUGUGUGUCCCUCCCAAAGCUGCAUGCACAGUCAGUGAGGACAACCAUCUCUGAUAGAGGAGGACUGUUCCCUUGCUCAAGGGUUUAUGAGUUGCUGAACUCCCCUGAUAGAACCUCCCAACAAGCUCUCAAAGUUUUUUUUCAACUCUGAUAUUUAUUUG